rnacentral:rRNA from 1 species
AUUGAACGCUGGCGGCAGGCCUAACACAUGCAAGUCGAGCGGAGCGGCGGACGGGUGAGUAAUGCCUAGGAAUCUGCCUGGUAGUGGGGAAUACGUUCGGGAAAGGGCCCUAAUAACGCCUACUUUCAGAUGAGCCUAGGGCGGGUUAGCUAGUUGGGUGGGUAAAGGCCUACCAAGGCGACGAUCCGGAACUGGUCUGAGAGGAUGAUCAGUCACACUGGAACUGAGACACGGUCCAGACUCCUACGGGAGGCAGCAGUGGGGAAUAUUGGACAGUGGGCGAAAGCCUGAUCCAGCCAUGCCGCGUGUGUGAAGAAGGUCUUCGGAUUGUAAAGCACUUUAAGUUGGGAGGCGUUACCAACAGAAUAAGCACCGGCUAACUUCGUGCCAGCGGCCGCGGUAAUAC